rnacentral:rRNA from 1 species
AUUGAACGCUGGCGGCAGGCUUAACACAUGCAAGUCGAGCGGGGGAAGGUAGCUUGCUACUGGACCUAGCGGCGGACGGGUGAGUAAUGCUUAGGAAUCUGCCUAUUAGUGGGGGUCAACAUCUCGAAAGGGAUGCUAAUACCGCAUACGUCCUACGGGAGAAAGCAGGGGAUCUUCGGACCUUGCGCUAAUAGAUGAGCCUAAGUCGGAUUAGCUAGUUGGGGGGGUAAAGGCCUACCAAGGCGACGAUCUGUAGCGGGUCUGAGAGGAUGAGCCGCCACACUGGGACUGAGACACGGCCCAGACUCCGACGGGAGGCAGCAGUGGGGAAUAUUGGACAAUGGGGGGAACCCUGAUCCAGCCAUGCCGCGUGUGUGAAGAAGGCCUUAUGGUUGUAAAGCACUUUAAGCGAGGAGGAGGCUACUCUAGUUAAUACCUAGGGAUAGUGGACGUUACUCGCAGAAUAAGCACCGGCUAACUCUGUGCCAGCCGCCGCCGUAA